GUCCUUGUAGCUCAGCUGGAUAGAGCGCAGCGCUACGAACGCUGAGGUCCGGGGUUCGAAUCCCUGCGAGGACG
rnacentral:tRNA from 2 species